UGGUGUAUGAUUUUUUGAAUUAUCCAAUAUGCCCUUUUUGAAAAUAUUAAAUAAUUUAUGAUCAAACAUAUUGAAUUUGAUAUGAUUAUACUAAUUAAUUUUGUUGUCAUAUUGUUUAUGAACUUUCUAUUUGGAAUAUAAAAUAUGUUUUUAAAAAAAAAUUUAUUUGAGAUGGAUUUUAGCUCGUAGCCUGAUUACUAAUGGGGAUUGUAUGCUGGAACUUCGAUAUUCUACCAGUAGAGACUGUGUACUAAUAGUUUGAUAUUUUAAGAGUAAGGAUUGUGCGAUAAUAUUUUGAUAUUUUGCUAGUGGGGGUUGUAUGUUGGUAUUUUAAUAUCCUAUCAUAAGGGAUUACUUAGUGGCACUUUAUUUAGUUGGUUGUCUAGAUCAAUAUGAUAUUUCGAAAGAAAUUAUUUAUAAAUGAACAUAAAUUUUGAAAAAACUGAAUGUACGGAUUUUACUUUUUAGUAUAUUAUUUUUAGUAUAUUAUUAUUAUUUUUAGUAUAUUAUUAUUAUUUAAUUUAUUUAGUUAAGUGAUCAUUAUUUAUUGGGCUAUCUAGC
rnacentral:lncRNA from 1 species